GGGUCUGUGGGCUCUCAAACCGGGGAGGACUCUCCUCUGAGAUGGCGUCUUGGGGGAGUGGCCCGACCCCAUAUGUUGCAGCAAAUACUCGGUGCCGGGAAGAGACAAACAAGCCAGGCGCACUCGGGGAAUCAGAAAAACAACAACAACAACAACAACAACAACAGAAAACUGUGUGUUGGCCACUGGUGUGCCCUCCCAGCGGAGUCACCUCCAAAGGCUGAGCCCCCGAACCUUGGCAUCGGCCUCCUUUUAUGGCUGGGAUGGUAGGGGGUUGAGAGACCCGAGAAAAAGGGGAGGGAGCCUUAUCACCGGUACUCCGGCCAGGUGGUGGACACAGGAGGCAAACGAGAUUACAGAAGCCAAAAGAAUGCAUGGAGAGGAUCUAGCCUCGGCCAUCUGGCCCCUUCUAUCUCGUUUCUACGAGCUUUUCUUCUCACCCCCAGGCGGCAGGGUGUGGGUCGGAGGGCCCUGGGUUCCUCGCCCCGCGCCUGCACAGGAAACGCUUUGGGUGGGGAGGAGGCGUGGCGGUGACCGCCUGGCGCCCCUCAGUGAGUGGGGAGAACCCCGUGGGGGUGUAAAUGCACCUGCCUACCCUCGCUUCCAGUGUUGCUUCCAGGUGCGUCAGGAGGGACAGGUGGGUGAGAGAGCUUGUCACGGUUGAACUCGGUCAACAAAUCGCGGGUUGAGCUCCUGUUGCGUGCUCUUCUGCCAGGGACCUACUUUUCUCUCUUUUGCUGUCCAUAACUACAUAGAGGGUGAAAAAUAACGGAGAAGAGUCAAUCCCUCUGAUUCCAGAAAGCUACUGGAGGAUGUGCUCCAACAAAACAUGGGACUAAAUCAAAGAGAAAGACAUGGGAUCUGGAAAAGAGGAUCAAGAGAAAAGGAAGAUUAUAAAUUACAUUUGAGCAGAGACCUAGUCUGCACCUCCUACUCAGGGCCUGGGACUGUAAUUCUCAUAUAAUGGGGAAAGAGAGGCUUAUAGAAAUAAGAUGUGAUGUGUUCGACACACAGCUCCUGAGGAAAAGUCAGACUCAGAAUCUAAAUCUCCUUGACCUCCAAGUCUGUGCUCCUAACCAUGUUGUCAUGUGACUUUAUCUUCAUCUAUAGAAAGGAACAACAGCAACAACAACAAAAACCCAAUGCAAACAGUGUGGAAAGCGAUCCUUAUUUCAUGAAGAUCAGUAAAGUCAAACAGCGAGCCACAGGUAUGUAUGAAUUCAGGGCCUUAGCAGAUCUAGUUGGGUCUGUAAAAAUAAAAAGAUACUAUGGUAGGAAGAAGAGAAAAGAAGUUUUAGUACUCUAAAUAAGUGGUUCUCUGUGUCUGGAAAUUGAAAAUUGAUUCAAGAAUUCAGCUAACGUACAUAAAAUAAAAAUAAUAUCGUUCAAAAUCAUGGUCUCCAAGGAAAUGCCAUCCUUAUAAAACCAUGGAUUAUUGACUGUAAGGUUUCUAUCCUGCGCUAGCCACUUUUCUUUAAAAGCUCAGGCUAGGUAUGUUUUGAAAAACAAAAGAUAUCCCUCAAUCCCAACCUGCUAACUUCCUAAUCCUUUUCCACAUUUUUCAAGUGCAAAUCUUGAAAUCACUUGACAGAGAGUUCAUUUGCAAGGUUCCUGAGUAAUGUGAGAGAAUAACAUUAUUUUUCCCUGUAAAUUCUUGAGAAUCAAAGUUAAUGAUUAUAUCCAAAUACAACUGGGAUUGCCACAUGGCGGCUGUUAGCAUUUGUUUUCUCUAUUUUCUCUUGGACCAUUGCACUUAUUUGGCAUUCACUAUUAUAAAAAAUAUUUAAUUGCAGUUAAGGGAAAACACACAUCGAGCCAGCCUAUUUUUGAGGUAACGGUAGUUGGUUCUCUAUGUUAUGCAUUUAUUCUCCUUCUGUUGCCUGUAUCGGAAUGUAAGAACAAGUGUCAUGGAGCUUCCGAGCAAAGGUAAACAAAUCCUUGAAUUGCCCACAGAGUUUGCCAAGUGCUGAGCAGCUGCUGUCGGGGGACAGAAUUACAGAAUGCAGUUAAACAGAAAUAGAAUAUUCAAAACAGGACAUGAGCAGCAGGGGCUAGUAAAAUAGGAAGAAAUAGCAAAUUCGACUUAAAAAGCUCUCUCCCUCUCCCUAGGGCUUGCAGUUUGCCGUCUUUUUCGAGGGUAGCUGUUGCCCUUGAAAUGCCCUCCUGUACACUGUGGUCCUCCAUUGUGAUUUUCCAAUGAGAACACUCACAGCACGGUCCGCCCCAGCACACCUAUCUUUAUUCUCUUCUCCCAGUGGUCAUUGGUGUCUUAGCUCCGUGCCUCACAAUUUUCAAGGCACUCAUUACAUUUUAACAUAAGUUGUGAGAGACAUGUAAUCUCAGCUCAGAGAAGAUACUCAAACAGAGGAGAAUGAUCAGAAAGAUGCUCGCUCUCUGCUGUCCACACCACUCAUUUUGCAAUUGACUCAUCAACCAGGACUAAAUUCCAGAUCUUACACUACUGUUUUCGAGCUUAUUUUCGUUUCUUUUCAUACUUCGUCUGGAGUGUACAUUUUGAUGUGCUGGACAGAUUGCUUGUUCAGGAUGAUGACAUUCAUACUACUGGCUAUGGGGAGUGCUGGCUGCAAAGGACUCACAGCUGAGCCUCCCUCGGGGGACCACCCUGGACCUGAAGGGAGCUGCUUCACCCAAGGUGACACCCCUCCCCAGGGAAACCUCCAUCCAAUGACUGGCCCACUGGAGGGGUACAAAGACCUCAUGUCCUCACUUCAAGGCAACUAUGAAAACUUAUUCUCACUCUAGCGUAUUCUGGGGAAUAGCCUGAACAGCUCUGUUGAAACUGCACUAUGGUUUGACUUCUCUCUGCCCAAUUCUGCUACUCUCAUUUCAUUACUGGUACUGUUCCUGAGAGCGCUCCCCAUAAGAUUGCUGCAAGCAAAUCUCCAAGUCAGGUUCUGUGACCUAAUAUAGUUUUCCAUGUAAACAUAUGCACUGGGAAGGCAGAGAUCGUGUUUUAUCUUUUUUUAUCUAGGCGAACCAGAAAAAUUUCCAGAUUCUUCUAGCAGUGCUGUGGUUAUGAGUUGCAAAUAACCCUUCUUAGGCUUACGUAACAGAACGUGACUACCUGCUUUUACCUGCUCAUACCAUUGAGUUGCUGAAAACCAGGAGAGAGGGAAGGAGGGAAGUCUCUCCUUCAUUGAUUAUGGUAUUUUUUAGUUUCUCCCCACAUGUAUCUGACUUGGACAUAGUGUUUUCCACCUGAGCUAUAUUCUCUACUUGUUCUUACGUGCCUACAGUUUUAUGUGUGUGUGUGUGUGUGUGUGUGUGUGUGUGUGUGUAUGUGUGUACAUGUAUAUAUUCAUAAUGUGUAGUAUGAAUCUCUACAUACUAGUAGUAGUUUGAAUGUAGUUUGAAUCUCUAUAUACUAUUUCCAAUCAUUUUGCUCAUGUUCUCUGCUUUGGAUUGACAUAUCCAGCCGGGGGUGUUGAAUAUCUAGAUUAAAUGGUACCACCUUUGGGGCUCCUGGGUGGCUCACUUGGUUAAGCGUCCAACUUCGGCUCAGGUCAUGAUCUCACGGUUUGUGGGUUUGAGCCCCACGUCGAGCUCUGUGCUGACAACUCAGAGCCUGAAGCCUGCUUCAGAUUCUGUGUCUCCUUCUCUCUAUGCCCCUCCCCUGCUCGCACUCUGCCUUUCUCCCUCUCAAAAAUAAUUAAAUAUUAAAAAAAAUUAUAAAAAAAUGGUACCACCUUGGAAUUCAGUGCCCUACAGAUAUCACUAACCAGUCGUGGCUCCCAACACUCUUACCCCAUUUCACAUUUGGCAGCCUCUGGUGCAGCCUCUGGUGCACACAAAUGCUCUGGCCCUUUUGGCAGAAUCCAGUUUUAACCCAGUCUUGGUCAUUUCCUCUUCUUAUACCUAGGAAAGCAGCUGUCUAGUUUCCUACCGUCCUUCAUGCAAGAUGGAGGCAGUAACUAUUUUCAAACUACAUCCAUCUUAUCUUUAGGAGCUAUUCCAAAUACUCUAGAAUUUGCUCCUUCUCUUGACUUUCCCAGGUGUCCUCUUUUGGAUAAUAAUCUGAGUCUCCCUCCUUCCAACCCAGGCUGCUGCUGACAGGGGCAGGCUGAGGCCACCUGGAGAGAGACAGAGGAAGAUUUUCCAUGAAAAUAUAAUGACAUAUAACCUUCAGCAGCUCUCAUCUUGUGCUUUCCAAAGCCCUGAGAGGACAUUUUUUUUUCCUUGUAAAGUUUCAAAAUUUAGACAUUCCAGGUAUAAUUUGUGAGGUCCUCUGCAUCUUCCCAAUGCUACUUUCCCUACAAAUGACUCCUCCUGUCACAUGGUGUUGGAAUGACCAUAGGCAUUGGAACUCAUUAAUGAAAAGUUGAAUUAAGGAUACACUUAAUUUGGGUCGGUGCUAUGUAUUUAUGUGAUUUGGAGCCACUUUCAUGUAUAGUGAAGUUAUUGCUAGCUAUGCUAAUUCAAGAAUAGCUUCCAGAAAUACUUAUUCAUCAGUGGGCAAAGCUGUAAGUGGAGAAUUUGGUUCUUAUCAGUGCCUCACCACAACAGAAAUGUUGUAGCAUUCACAGUAAUGAGACAUACAGAAGUUCUCAGGAGCCUUGCAUUUGCAGGGCACACACUGGUAGCAGUAGUGUAAACAGUACACGUGUGUGUGCAGUCACAUGUUUGAUGCAUCUUAAGCAUCGAUAAUAAAAAACAACUUUGGAUUGCCCACGAUAGAGGAAAAACAAAAUUAUCAUUUUAUUCUCUUUAUGUAAGAAUUGUAAAUACCACUAUCAUACAAAGAAGGAAAGAGCACACAGCUGAAAAACUAGGAAAAAGUCCUAUGAGGUAUAUCAGCAGUUAAUUAAGAAAAACAUGCUGUCUUGAUUUUGCGGUUUAUUUGUCAGCAUUUUAAAAUUUAUAAUUUUGUUGUAAUUCCUUUUCUCAUUGUAAAUAAACAGGUCUUCUUUAUUUAAUUUUAUAUUCAAAAUAUUGUAUUCUUCUGCUUGCAGAAUCCCCCACCCCAGAUGUAUGACUUUCAGGCCCCGUAAAUCCUGGGUCCACUCCUGGAAGACUCAGAAGCCUCUUUGCACAGUGGCUCCGUGUUCUGCAGGGACAGGAGUGUUUCCCACUGGGAGCCAAGUAAGCAUGGUUCCUUUCUUGUCAAUUCGGAACAUGAGCAUGAAAUUUUAGGGCAGAAAGGGACCAAAGAUAUAAUCUAGCAUAAUAUCGUUUUUCAGGUGAGGAAACUGAGGCUGAGAGUGAUCAUGGCUCUAUAAAGUCUCUAAGUCCUGUUUCAGCAGUGGACCUAUGGAAAAGUGUACAGGUAGUUGCCACAGUGUCCCAGGGCAAUGGACGUAACAUUCAACUUCUUGAGAGGGUGCUGACAGAGAAAGUUCCACAAAUUUAUUUCCACUUCUUCUCAGUCAGGCUGAGACUAAGGAGCAGAGGUGGACCCCUGGGUAAGGACAACGGCCUCUCUGGUGGGACACAGUGCUCCUCCGAAAAAGGAACUGAUGUUUUUAAGAAAUGAUAGAAGUUAAACUCGUCACCACUCCCAAGAAUUUAGUCUUUAAGACUUUGAUCUUUCGAUUAUGGGCAGACUCUUAUUUUAAGCACUGAGUUUACUGAGUGGUACGAUUAGUUCCCAAAUGGAAAACUGUAAUCUCACUCUUGAUAACCUCCACUGUUUAGCACUCUCACAUUUGUUUCAUUUGGCAUUUUUUUUUUCUUAUUUUCUGUCUCUCUCUGCACUCGCCCUUUGGAGUAGGUGGGUUAAUGUUACUACAUUGGUGAAAAAAUCUGAAGUUCAGUGUAGCUAGUAACAGGGGAGAACUAAGAUUAGAAAUAGGCCUCUUGAUCUUCUUUCUAGGGUUUUCUCUUUAUAUCAUCUGAUCUCCAGGAUUAACAAAAGAAUCCUUGUUUUAUUUACUUUCAUUAACUUGACAAAAGUAGAUCUAGCUUUAUGUAAGAACAGAUAAUUGCCAUCUCCUGUGAUUGAAAAGAGGUCAAUCUUUCCCUGAUGACAGGAUUCUACCAUCAAUAACUCUUUCCUUUUAUAUUCAGCUUUCACAACCUUUUAUCACAGAGGUACACCCGGGAGGAAAAUUUCCAAUGUCUUUGUGUGAAUGAAUUUGCAUGCUUUAUUUAUUUCUUAGUUAAGUCAAGCAAGGAAAGAAGGGGAGUAUCAUGACUUCCAUUUCCAAAAUAAAGAAAUCAUAAUUUUUUUGAGGGGGGAAAGGGGAAGAGAGAGAGGGAAAGAGAGAAUCUUAAGCAGGCUCAACACUCUGCACAGAGCUCAACGUGGGACUUGAACCCACGACCCUACGAUCAUGACCUGAGCCUAUCUAUAUCAAGAGUUGGACUCUUAACUGACUGAGCCACCCAGGCGCCCCCAUAAUUUUUGAUACACAUAAAUUGUUUGAGUUACUACAUUAUAAUUUUCUUGUAUUUUUCUUUAUCAUUGAACAUUCUAUAAUUGGAAGAACAUUUUAAUGGUCAUAUUGGUGAUUUUCAGAACGACAUCAUUUGAUCAAUGUAAAAAUCACUCAUUAUGUAAUGUUUCUGUCAUUAUAAAGAGUUUUUCUUCAAUUUUCAUUCAUGUCAAGAAUUUUCUUGUUAAUAGUUAUGGUCAUCAUGGCAACUCUCCUAUGUAUGAAUGUAAUGAGGUUACAAAGCACUGAUGCUUGCACAAUCUCAUUUGGACCU